CCAUCAUCGCUUUGUGAUCCUCCCACUGUUUUCCUCACUUUUAAACCACAGUCUCCUGUCUCUGCAAAGGGCUGUUCUUUCUUCAGUCUCUGUUUUGCGGUGGGGAAGCAAUUGCAAGGCUGUGACUGUGGCACAGGCUGUGGAUGCAGCUCGUAAGAAGAGGACGAUCAGAGGGGAGAAAAUACUGUUCUUGCUCCUCUGAAUUCUAAAGAAGAAGAGAAUCAGAGUCUUGUAUCUCUGAAGAUGGCAUCUUCUAUAGCUACUGAUUCAGUGGUUGAAUUCUGCUGUGGCACUACAAUGUGAAUAAAUGUGGCUUGCUGUAGAUUUGGAUGCUGAGCCCUGCCUGAAUUCUGAACUCCCGAGUACCUUCAGAGACUUAGCAUGGCUCUUGCAGAAGAUAAAGCAAGGCUAUGGGACAGUCUUGUGGCAGGACCUUUCUAGGUAAGGAACCCGUAAGUCAAAGGCUGCUGCUAACAUUUGUUUCCUUGCAAGGGUCCAGCUAACGGCUAGUGGAGGUGCACAACUGAACUAUUUCUCCAGCUGUGCCCGCCAGAAGCAUUUUGCUCUUGCUUUCAGAUGAGUUUUCCAGUGAGGGAGCUGUCGGUGCUUGCUGUGAGGGGAGCAUCCCUACUCGCUGUGCUCUGGGAGGAAGCCAGAUCAUGUGCAAAGGUAGCAAGGCCCCUUUUGUGAGACCCAGCCAAACAGUCUGAGUUUGACAUUACAAAAGCUACCGAGUGCUGUAGGAGCUGAGGUUUCGUUUGCAAGAGGAUCUUUCAGCUUUGACUGAUAGCUGAUAAUUUGUGCAGGGGUAAUAGAACACAGCCAGCAGUGUGCAGAGCCCCAGAGCCAAUGGCUAUGGCUCUGGAGCAGCACUGGUGUGCCUGACCUACAACCAAACCCUGCUCAGCACAGGGUGUUCAGCUACCCUGAACUUCAUUUGACACUAAUGUAAGGGCAGGG
rnacentral:lncRNA from 1 species